rnacentral:rRNA from 1 species
ACUCCUACGGGAGGCAGCAGUGGGGAAUAUUGCACAAUGGGCGCAAGCCUGAUGCAGCCAUGCCGCGUGUAUGAAGAAGGCCUUCGGGUUGUAAGUACUUUCAGCAGUGAGGAAGGUGGGUAUGUUAAUAGCAUAUUCAUUUUGACGUUUAGCUGCAGAAGAAGCACCGGCUAACUCCGUGCCAGCAGCCGCGGUAAUACGGAGGGUGCGAGCGUUAAUCGGAAUUACUGGGCGUAAAGCGCAUGCAGGUGGUUUGUUAAGUCAGAUGUGAAAGCCCGGGGCUCAACCUCGGAAUUGCAUUUGAAACUGGCAAACUAGAGUACUGUAGAGGGGGUAGAA